GGGGAUGUGGUGGAAUUGGUAGACACGACAGACUUAAAAUCUGUUGGUUGUAAUGACCGUGAGGGUUCAAGUCCCUCCGUCCCUA
rnacentral:tRNA from 4 species